rnacentral:tRNA from 1 species
GCCUGGCUGGCUCAGUCCGUGGAGCUUGAGACUCUUGAUCUCAAGGUCGUGAGUUCAAGCCCCAUGUUGGGCA